UUCUCGGCCUAGGACCGCCUGCGGGCACCCGUACCUCUAGAGAUCCCACGAGACCAGGCAUCCUCUCGGGAGUGUGGUUGCGGCGCAGCUCCCGCGUGCGCAAGCCGCCUGUUUGUCGCUAAGCCUUCGCGGCUGUUCCAGGGCUCUCACGACCAGCACGUUACAAUGAAAGGUGUAACUCAGAUAUUUGAAAUACCAUAUCCUUCCAGAAAUCGCAUUGGAAGCUUUGUGGUGCCCUCAAUGUCAGUGUGUUCCCUGAACUGAUAAAAGGUCACACGGAAGACGCUCUAACAACUGAAAAUACAGCUUUUUUUUUGUUUUGUUUUCGGGGGUGACCAGAAGUGCUUCGUCAGGACUGUACUUUUUCGUGUGGAACACCAGGCAGUCACUUGCCUCCUUGUUGGAAACAUGAUGAUUUGCUUCUUACUUGAGGUUGCAGAGGUCUUCAAAUAUUUAGUCUAUAUUUUGAAAGAUGUUUGCAUAGUGCACAAUGUUGGAAGAUACAGUGCCUUCCUUCAGAGGAAAAGACAAGUGUAUUUUCCCUCUAGUAUGAUGAAGAUGAUGUCUUCCUUCAGAGAAGAGGGAGAGAGAGAGAGACAGCGUGAGCAGGGG